rnacentral:rRNA from 1 species
CACGCCGUAAACGAUGAUUACUAGGUGUGGGAGGUCUGACCCCUUCCGUGCCGGCGCUAACGCAAUAAGUAAUCCACCUGGGGAGUACGGCCGCAAGGCUGAAACUCAAAGGAAUUGACGGGGGCCCGCACAAGCAGUGGAUUAUGUGGUUUAAUUCGAAGCUACGCGAAGAACCUUACCAGGUCUUGACAUCCCGUGCAUAGCAUAGAGAUAUGUGAAGUCUUUCGGGACACGGAGACAGGUGG